ACGUAAAAAGGUGCACAAAAAAAUAAGAGUGCGGGAGGUACCAAUUCCCGGUGGAAAAAACUGGAAGUAUGCUUUGAUGCGCCCAAGAUUUCCUGAAGCUUGGCCAAGCGUGUAGUUCAAUUGCGUCCCGCCGCAGGUCUGUACGGGAGUCACCGGGAAUACUGCGACUUGCUGGGAAUCCACGCCGGUAGAAUCGGCACCUGUCCAAGAAAACAGAACACCCCCACAAAAAGCAGAGGAUAGAAUAGAGGGAAAGAGCAGGGGUUGCCGGUAAAAUUUCCGGCGAAAAGCAAGAAUUCUGGACCUCUAAACAGCGGCAAUAUCUGCCUUGAAUUAGCAGUGCGAGAAGGAGAUGAGGAGGCUAAGUGAA
rnacentral:lncRNA from 1 species